rnacentral:rRNA from 1 species
UACGGGGGGAGCAAGCGUUGUUCGGAUUUACUGGGCGUAAAGGGCGCGUAGGCGGCGCAACAAGUCACUUGUGAAAUCUCCGGGCUUAACCCGGAGCGGUCAAGUGAUACUGUCGUGCUAGAGUGUGGAAGGGGCAAUCGGAAUUCUUGGUGUAGCGGUGAAAUGCGUAGAUAUCAAGAGGAACACCUGAGGUGAAGACGGGUUGCUGGGCCAACACUGACGCUGAUGCGCGAAAGCCAGGGGAGCAAACGGG